rnacentral:rRNA from 1 species
UACGGGGAUGGCGAGCGUUACUCGGAUUUAUUGGGUGUAAAGGGCAGGUAGGUGGCUAUGUAAGUUGUUGGUGAAAUCCUUUGACUCAAUCAAAGAACUGCCUUCAAAACUGCAUAGCUUGAGGCUGAAAGAGGAGAGCGGAAUUCCCGGUGUAAGGGUGAAAUCUGUAGAUAUCGGGAGGAACACCUGUGGCGAAAGCGGCUCUCUGGUUCAGUUCUGACACUCAACUGCGAAAGCUAGGGGAGCAAACAGG